GAGUUUGAUCAUGGCUCAGAUUGAACGCUGGCGGCAUGCCUUACACAUGCAAGUCGAACGGCAGCGGGGGAGAAGCUUGCUUCUCCUGCCGGCGAGUGGCGAACGGGUGAGUAAUACAUCGGAACGUGCCCUGUAGUGGGGGAUAACUAGUCGAAAGAUUAGCUAAUACCGCAUACGACCUGAGGGGAAAGUGGGGGACCGCAAGGCCUCACGCGAUUGGGUUGGCCGAUGUCCGAUUAGCUAGUUGGCGGGGUAAGAGCCCACCAAGGCGAUGAUCGGUAGCUGGUCUGAGAGGAUGAUCAGCCACACUGGGACUGAGACACGGCCCAGACUCCUACGGGAGGCAGCAGUGGGGAAUUUUGGACAAUGGGGGAAACCCUGAUCCAGCCAUUCCGCGUGAGUGAAGAAGGCCUCGGUUGUAAG
rnacentral:rRNA from 1 species